UCGUGUGGCCGAUCCACGGCUGGCAACUGGACGUGCGAGCGCCGCACGUUGGGUCCCUCGUGCGAGGCGUGCGCCCUGCAAUGGUGGCAAACCCUUCCCCAAUCACCACAGCUGCCGCACGCCUCCCUCCUUCCUCCUCGUCUCCAGAGCCGCCGCACCUCUUCUUCCUCCUCGCCCGCACCCCUGCCGCGGCGCGCAUCCCUCCCAUCGUCGAGCCCCACCUCCCCUUCCCAUUUCUCCUCCUCCCAGAACCAUCUCCCGUCGCUUAGGCUUCAUGGCGGCGGCCGGCUCGAGCGAGCCUGGCGCGGCAGGCGGAAGCAGCGGGGAGCGGCGGAUGCGGGUGGGAGAGUGCCGGACGGCGCCGUCAUUGUCACCCCGCUAAGCCGCAUCGAAGAAGGACCAGUACCUCACCCCUCACCUCCCCACGAGACGUUGAGCCGCCGACUGCAGUAGCCAGGGUUGUCGUUGGUGAUGUCUGUAGGUAUUUUCGUCCUCGCCAGUUACAGUACAAUUCCUAGGUUUGGUCAAUGUCUCUGGAGCUAUGGUAUUAUCCUUUGAUUUCUCCUAUAUUUCCCUUCCUGAUUUUGUUUGAUGAUUUGCUAGCUUAUGGGAUUGGAUCUUCAUUUUCCAAGAUUCUUAGCUGAUAAUUAUAUUGUGCGGGAAAAUCUCUAUAGAAUGAUGUUGUGCACAUCCAAAUCCAAGCAAUGUAAGUGACCUUAGCAUUUCACUUGUGGGCUGCUACAUUUCAUACAGUUUCUGAAUUCAACUACCGUUCAUGUGUAGUUGGAUACUCCAUACGGCAAAGUUGAUGCUUUGUACAUCACUUUUUUACCUGUUUAUUAAUGUUUCUUCAUGUUUGUCACUUGACAGUGAUCUGGGUUUCCAUGUAUUUGAUAGAUGCAUUCCUUAUCUUUAUGUGUUCCGUCUAUGUAUAUAUGUUUCUGCCCAUAAAUGUAUUUAUGAGCUGGCUUCAUUUUCCUUCCUUCCUGCUUUACUGACCAUUUGUUUCCCUUCCUAUUUUGCAGGCUGUUCCAUCUUACUGAUCUCGUGCAGAAUCUCCGUUUAGCUCAUUGCUACAUCUCCAUUCUGCUCGUCGGGCCUCGUCAAGGUUUGCUGCCAUGAUCUCUGCUUGUCUUGCUGCUCUACUUUCUAUAUGUGCUUUCAUGUUCUAUAGCCUCCUGAUUGCUUAUAUCCUAUCAGUAGCACCAUGCCUCCCUGUCAGCCUAUUCAUUUUUUUCAUCGAAAGCUUUCUUAAUAGGAAGGCAUAUAAUGCUCAGUAAAUACAACCUUAAGUUGGUGACAACUUGAUAUAUGUGGUUCUCCUGUUACAGUGCUUCGAUCAGUUAAUACUCCUUCUGUUUGAAGGUUAUGUGCAGUGUGUCCGUGCCAUUAAAGAAUUUAAUAUUUCUUUGAACUUCUGGCCUAGAGAUUUAUUUCAUUUGGUCAAACUGGUUCUGAACUUCUGAUCAUAGCAGGCUACUACAUAGAAGGUAUGGCAUAAUUUUGUUGACAGAGCUUCUUCAAAAUAUCGGUCCUCAUGUAAUCUAACCAUUACACUCCAAUAAGGAAGGAACUCUUUCAUUAUUGGAUCUAAAGUGUUUGCUUUGAUCAGUUAAUACUCCCUCUGUUCAUAAAUAUAAGACGUUUUAGAGACAAGCUGCAUAUUUAAUGAAGCAUCCAUUUGCUGUAGAAAGCAUGUUUUAUGGUCCUAUACCAGGCAAGGUGUUCAGAUGGCAUAAAUAUAUCAUCGUGUCUAGGUUAUUAUCAAUUUAAAUAAAUAUCCAUUUGUUGUUCCCCAGUUUAAGUAAAAUUUUGUAUUUGCAAAGCACAAGUUCUGUUCUGGUUAUUAUUUUAUUGCCAGCCAACCUAUAUCUUCAACCUUCUCUUGCAUAGGGCAGGCAAUGGUUCUUGGUUGCUUUCAAAAUAAUCGACACCUCUUUAGGAGUACGGACAAUAUUGCCAAUGUAUAUAGUCCGUGCUUUUGUCUUUAGUAAUUUCACAUCAUUAUCUUGUUUAAGCAUCUAGAUUAUAUAUCUUCAGUAACCUAUUUAACAAUGCUUUUCAGCUUUUUUCCAUGUUGUAACAUACUUCCUGUGUUGUGUAAUAAUCUACUGAUGGCCAGUUAUAGCUUCGUUUUACUAGGAUAUUGCAUAUGAUGUUCUUUAUUCUCAGCAAAGCAAACAUCUCAUUUGUUUCUCAUACUAUUCUCUACAAAAAACUAGGCGUUUUGCUAAAGCUAGAGUCAUGAUGGCGUUAGUAACCUUGGUGAUGCUUCUUGUAUGGCAAACCAACUUGUAUUUGAUUAUCCUAUGGGUUAUUUAUCCGGAUGUUGCAUAUUGGAGUAUUGUGGAGCUAAUAAUAUUUGAAUCUGAGCUAGCCUACUAUUUCAAUUUGAGUUCAAAAAUUACAAAUCUCAGUGUUUGUUUUCAGUUAUCAAUCUUCUUCCCUUCUCCUUUUUUGGGUCACUUUUGAUAGCUUCUUUCAUUCUAUACAUAUUAGUUGCCGCCUCAGGCCUUGGCACUUUUCAAGACGAGGCCUCAAUUUACUGGAAAAUGCAGUCUUCAUUUACUGAGUUAUAUUUUUGUCUUGCUUUCUUCCAGGUCCCUCAUACAGUGGUUCAGAAAAAAGACUAUCCAAUGGACAUGAUGCAUGAGGAGCAGCAAGGUCAUGAUCCAUGAAGCCCUAUGUUCUUUUUCUCACUGUGUGCAGGCUCUUUCUAGAAUGCUUAGCAGGCGAUCAACGCGACACAUGUGGAGGCUGUGAGAUUUGUGAAUGACAUAUGUCUUGUCAUACUUAUGAGCAGGAGCACAUGCCACAUUAUUCUUAUGCCACUCUGAGCAGCCGAGCUGUUGACUGCUGCUUGAACCCUGUUUGAGUUCCUCUAUGAAAGGAUAAAGAGGGGGCAUGCUGUUGUGGUUGUUGCUAAAGGCGUUAGUCAGGAGUUGAUUAUCCGGACUGAUGACCAGAACUAAGAGCAGGAUGAGUAUGUCAACAUGUUGUUCCUUGACGCUGGCCUUCUUCUAUAAAGUUUACAUGCAGCUCUCCUCCAUGAUUGGAAAAAAACCAAUUUAAACGUUUUGUUUCUUCGAUGGUUACUCGUUUCUCUUACCGUUGUAUCAAAACAAAUGUAUUUUCCUUGAUGGCCGCCUGGGCUCAUUUUCUAGGAGAAUGAGAUGUGGACAAACUAUGAAAUGUUUGGUUCCCUUCGAACAAUUUAUUAGCUAACUAACUUUGGUUGCUACUGCA